rnacentral:rRNA from 1 species
AUUGAACGCUGGCGGCAUGCUUUACACAUGCAAGUCGAACGGUAACAGGCCGCAAGGUGCUGACGAGGGGCGAACGGGUGAGUAAUGCAUCGGAACGUGCCCAGUCGUGGGGGAUAACGCAGCGAAAGCUGCGCUAAUACCGCAUACGAUCUAUGGAUGAAAGCGGGGGACCGUAAGGCCUCGCGCUCACGGAGCGGCCGAUGGCAGAUUAGGUAGUUGGUGGGAUAAAAGCUUACCAAGCCGACGAUCUGUAGCUGGUCUGAGAGGACGACCAGCCACACUGGGACUGAGACACGGCCCAGACUCCUACGGGAGGCAGCAGUGGGGAAUUUUGGACAAUGGGCGCAAGCCUGAUCCAGCCAUGCCGCGUGCAGGAUGAAGGCCUUCGGGUUGUAAACUGCUUUUGUACGGAACGAAAAGACUCUGGUUAAUACCUGGGGUCCAUGACGGUACCGUAAGAAUAAGCACCGGCUAACUACGUGCCAGCCGCCGCGGUAACAC